AGGGUUUGAUUCUGGCUCAGGAUGAACGCUGGCGGCGUGCUUAACACAUGCAAGUCGAGCGAAGCAGUUAAGUUGAUUUCUUCGGAUUGAUUCUUAACUGACUGUGCGGCGGACGGGUGAGUAACGCGUGGGUGACCUGCCCCAUACCGGGGGAUAACAGCUGGAAACGGCUGCUAAUACCGCAUAAGCGCACAGAGCUGCAUGGCUCGGUGUGAAAAACUCCGGUGGUAUGGGAUGGGCCCGCGUCUGAUUAGGCAGUUGGCGGGGUAACGGCCCACCAAACCGUCGAUGGAUAGGGGUUCUGAGAGGAAGGUCCCCCACAUUGGAACUGAGACACGGUCCAA
rnacentral:rRNA from 1 species